GACGAAUGCUGGCGGCGUGCUUAACACAUGCCAGUCGAACGGAAAGGCCCUGCUUGCAGGGUACUCGAGUGGCGAACGGGUGAGUAACACGUGGGUGAUCUGCCCUGCACUUCGGGAUAAGCCUGGGAAACUGGGUCUAAUACCGGAUAGGAGCCAUUUUUAGUGCGAUGGUUGGAAAGUUUUUUCGGUGUAGGAUGAGCUCGCGGCCUAUCAGCUUGUUGGUGGGGUAAUGGCCUACCAAGGCGGCGACGGGUAGCCGGCCUGAGAGGGUGGACGGCCACAUUGGGACUGAGAUACGGCCCAGACUCCUACGGGAGGCAGCAGUGGGGAAUAUUGCACAAUGGGCGCAAGCCUGAUGCAGCGACGCCGCGUGGGGGAUGACGGCCUUCGGGUUGUAAACUCCUUUCGCUAGGGACGAAGCUUUUGUGACGGUACCUAGAUAAGAAGCACCGGCUAACUACGUG
rnacentral:rRNA from 1 species